GCGAAAGCCUGACGCAUCGACGCCGCGUGAGUGAACACUGCUUGCGAGUUGUAAAACUCUUCCCUGGGGGAAGAGGAAGGACGGGACCCGAGGAAUAAGCGUCGGCUAACUACGUGCCAUCAGCCGCGGUACGACGUAGGACGCGAGCGUUAUCCGGAUUUACUGGGCUGUGCGCGCCUGUAGGCGGCUUUGUACGUUGGGCGGUGACGUCCCCGUGCUUAACCCGGGGCAGGCCGUUCAAUACUGCGGAGCUAGAGUACGGCAGAGGGGAGUGGAAUUCCCGGAGUAGCGGUAAAAUGCGCAGAUAUCAGGAGGAACACCAGUGGCGAAGGCGGCUCCCUGGGCCGAGACUGACGCUCAGAGCCGAAAGCUAGGGGACCGAACAGGAUAAGAGACCCUGGUAGUCCUAGCCCUAAACGAUGGAUGCUAGGUGUGGGGACGAGGAGCCCCCGUGCCGGAGCAAACGCGAUAAGCAUCCCGCCUGGGGAGUACGCCCGCAAGGGUAAAACUCAAACGAAUUGACGGGGGCCCGCACAAGCAGCGGAGCGUGUGGUUUAAUUCGAUGCUACACGAAGAACCCUACACGGGUUUGACAUGUAGAUGUUAGAGAGGCGAAAGCUGAGCGACCCCUCGGGGAGCGUACACAGGUGCUGCAUGGCUGUCGUCAGAUCGUGCCGUGAGAUGUCGGGUUAAGUCCCGUAACGAGCGCAACCCCUGCUCCUAGUUAUACGUGUCUAUGGGGGACUGCCGGCGGGAAGCCGGAGGAAGAUGGGGAUGACAUCAAGUCAGCAUGGCCCUUAUGUCCAGGGCUACACACACGC
rnacentral:rRNA from 1 species